AGGAUCUGUUUUGUUUUCCCUCUCUGCUACUAGGUGACUUUGCAGAUGGCCGCCGGGGGGGAAAGGAAACCACAAGUCUACAGCCCAGGAGGCUUCACAUCAUCAACCAGCACUGAUGUCCUGAUCUUAUCUCCUGACACCUGCAAGCAAACCAGAGUAGAAGCAACCAUUAGCAGAUCCCAAGGGGUUGUUGUCCUGUUGGAAGAUGAACCUUAGCCCCAGCCCGAGAUCCGGAGCCCUCUAGGACAAGUUAUCUUCAAGGAUGUCUCUGUGCAUUGCUGCAUUCAUCUAUCCCUCAACCCUGACUAGUCUCCCUGUUCAUGCUGCUGAAAAUCAUCCCCACAGCAUGAUGCUGCCACCACCAUUCUUCACUGUGGGACAUUUCUGGCCAGGUGAUAAGCAGUGCCUGGUUUCUUCCAGACAUGACGCUUGGCAUUCAGGCCAAAGAGUUCAAUCUUAUUUUCAUCAGACCAGAGAGUUUUGUCUCUCAUGGUCUGAGAGUCUUUCAGGUGCCUUUUACAGAGGAGUGGCAUUACGUAGCGGACCUGCCUCUGGCAACAUGGCAGCAACGGCAAAAUGCAGCUAGCCAGCCAAUCUGCUGUUGCAUGCCAUAUU